rnacentral:tRNA from 1 species
GGAGGUGUAGCUCAGUGGUAGAGCACGUGCUUAGCAUGCAGGAGGUCCUGGGUUCAAUCCCCGGUACCUCCA